ACGGCUCAGUAACACGUGGAUAACCUGCCCUUGGGUCCGGCAUAACCCCGGGAAACUGGGGAUAAUUCCGGAUAACGCACAUAUGCUGGAAUGCUUUAUGCGUAAAAUGGAUUCGUCUGCCCAAGGAUGGGUCUGCGGCCUAUCAGGUAGUAGUGGGUGUAAUGUACCUACUAGCCAACAACGGGUACGGGUUGUGAGAGCAAGAGCCCGGAGAUGGAUUCUGAGACAUGAAUCCAGGCCCUACGGGGCGCAGCAGGCGCGAAAACUUUACAAUGCGGGAAACCGUGAUAAGGGGACACCGAGUGCCAGCAUCAUAUGCUGGCUGUCCAGGUGUGUAAAACACACCUGUCAGCAAGGGCCGGGCAAGACCGGUGCCAGCCGCCGCGGUAACACCGGCGGCCCGAGUGGUGAUCGUGAUUAUUGGGUCUAAAGGGUCCGUAGCCGGUUUGGUCAGUCCUCCGGGAAAUCUGAUAGCUCAACUAUUAGGCUUUCGGGGGAUACUGCCAGGCUUGGAACCGGGAGAGGUAAGAGGUACUACAGGGGUAGGAGUGAAAUCUUGUAAUCCCUGUGGGACCACCUGUGGCGAAGGCGUCUUACCAGAACGGGUUCGACGGUGAGGGACGAAAGCUGGGGGCACGAACCGGAUUAGAUACCCGGGUAGUCCCAGCCGUAAACGAUGCUCGCUAGGUGUCAGGCAUGGCGCGACCGUGUCUGGUGCCGCAGGGAAGCCGUGAAGCGAGCCACCUGNNAAGUACGGCCGCAAGGCUGAAACUUAAAGGAAUUGGCGGGGGAGCAC
rnacentral:rRNA from 1 species